AUUGAACGCUGGCGGCAGGCCUAACACAUGCAAGUCGAGCGAGCGGCGGAAGGGUGAGUAAUGUCUGGGAAACUGCCGGAUGGAGGGGGAUAACUACUGGAAACGGUAGCUAAUACCGCAUACCAUCAGAUGUGCCCAGAUGGGAUUAGCUAGGAGGUGGGGGAAUGGCUCACCUAGGCGCCGAUCACUAGCUGGUCUGAGAGGAUGACCAGCCAGACUGGAACUGAGACACGGUCCAGCCUCCUCCGGGAGGCAGCAGUGGGGAAUAUUGCACAAUGGGCGCAAGCCUGAUGCCGCCAUGCCGCGUGUGUGAAGAAGGCCUUCGGGUUGUAAAGCACUUUCAGCGGGGAGGCGUUACCCGCAGAAGAAGCACCGGCUAACUCCGUGCCAGCAGCCGCGGUAAUUC
rnacentral:rRNA from 1 species